rnacentral:rRNA from 1 species
UAGGGAAUCUUCCGCAAUGGACGCAAGUCUGACGGAGCAACGCCGCGUGAGUGAAGAAGGUUUUCGGAUCGUAAAACUCUGUUGUUAGAGAAGAACAAGUGCUAGAGUAACUGUUAGCGCCUUGACGGUAUCUAACCAGAAAGCCACGGCUAACUACGUGCCAGCAGCCGCGGUAAUACGUAGGUGGCAAGCGUUGUCCGGAUUUAUUGGGCGUAAAGCGAGCGCAGGCGGUUCCUUAAGUCUGAAGUUAAAGGCUGUGGCUUAACCAUAGUACGCUUUGGAAACUGUUUAACUUGAGUGCAAGAGGGGAGAGUGGAAUUCCAUGUGUAGCGGUGAAAUGCGUAGAUAUAUGGAGGAACACCGGUGGCGAAAGCGGCUCUCUGGUCUGUAACUGACGCUGAGGCUCGAAAGCGUGGGGAGCGAACAGGAUUAGAUACCCUGGUAGUCCACGCCGUAAACGAUGAGUGCUAGGUGUUGGAUCCUUUCCGGGAUUCAGUGCCGCAGCUAACGCAUUAAGCACUCCGCCUGGGGAGUACGACCGCAAGGUUG